rnacentral:lncRNA from 1 species
GCACUGCUUCGACCGCCCACCCCCAUGUUCUGAUUUCUAUGCUCUUCCUUUGCCUUGUGGGGCCUUGCAACGAAGGGGCCUACGCUUGCCCAGCCUGAAGAGUGAUGUCCUAUAGCACCUGCUGGUUCUUCAAGCAACUUUUUUCUGUCCACAAAACAAUCAGGACAAGUCUAUCACCCUCAACUCUAAGAAGAAUUGGGGGAGGGAAAGGGGGGUGGGGGGGUACUGAGCCCAAGUUAUCAGAUUCUAUUUCUCCAUCUCUCACUCACUCCCUUGCUCCCUAUCUCUGUCCCCCCGACCCCACCCCCACCCCCAAGUGUUUUUGAUCAUUUGCUUUCUAGAGCCCUGUCAUACAGUAGCUGGUCUCCUCUGUGUCGCACACUUUGCAUGACGUGUGGUGGUUGACGGGGAGCAUGGUUCCAGUCUUAGACGUAAAGCCUCAGUCACUUCUCCAUGGUGUGCUAUUCCCAUCCUCUCAGAUCCAAGGUGACCACAGUCGUUAGUUCCAUUACUGUGCAGCUACUUCUGGCUUUACUAAUGAACAGGUGAUGAUAGUGAGGAAAGGCAGUGGCAGAGAUCCAAAGUUGACUUCUAUAUGUUUCGAGUUUGGCAGAUCCAUUGAAGCCAGGUUAGCAAAUUCACCCAAGAUAUUGUCACCUACAGUAUCUGCAGCAAAAGUCAAUCUGAGGUUUUCCUUAUAGAAACAAGAGAAAGGCCAAAAUCAUUAACUUUUUAUUUGAUGUUAAUUUUGGCUAAAUAUGAAAAGUUAACAAAAAUUGGACCAGAGUGAGGUUUCAAUUUAACCGUUCGAAACAGCACAUAUAAUCAAAACAAUCUGCUGUAAGCAUCACAGUAAUUAUUUCACCUGGGAGGUUCUUUAAUCCAAAGCUCUUUAAGGGGGUUAAGCAAUUUUCCCAAGGUUACAGACACCGUGUCCCACCUGGGAUAAGAGUCCUGUGAUCCAAAAUCCCAUUCCCAAUCCCUGGCCCCCAGCAGCUGCUCUACACGACUGUUAACUGGCAGGACUGGUCUGGUCUGCUUUUGAACAACAGACUCCCUCGCCUUUUAAUGAAGUGCCAAAUAAUAACCUACUCUACAAUGCUGCCAGGAAGCAAGGAACGAAAGGGAAGAGAGAAAGGAGAAACAUAUGACCUCUUGUUUGUAGUCUGGGUUACUCACAUACAUUUCUAUACAUUUCUAUACACAAGACAAAUCCCAAUUAUAGGCAGUGGUAGCAAGGAGGACAGUUCAAUUAGACCAAAAACACUUUUUCAAGCAGAGACAUGCUGUCAGCUCAGUAAAUAUACCACCAUGUUCUGCCUACCAAUAGUGCUCUCUUCUCUGACUGUUUAGCGCGAGGCUGGUUUCGACCCUUUGACCGAGAUCUUUGAUUGACGGAAUGUGCUAUGCCUUUCCAUCGUACUGGAAUAAUAUUACUGUUUUGUUCAAAUGUUUUUUCUAUUUUCAUUAAUUUUUUUCUCAGGGUGCUGUGAUCGAAGCCUGUACCAGAGCAAUCUCUAUUUUGCGCAUUUAUUUAAGAAACACAAACAUUUCUAUUUGACAAGCAUAUUGCCAUAUACUGUAUCUUUGCCCUCCCUGCCUAUGUACAACACCACUAUAGCCAUGUAUCCAGACUCAGUCCUUGCUUAGUCAUUUUGGUUCUUUAUUCCCAUGUUGGGUACAGUUGCCUGUUUAGCUCACGCUUCCACACACAGGUGGUCAUGGCUUUGAUCAUGAUGUUCAUUAAAUCCCUGGCUAAUCUCUCUCAGAUGGGCCCUUCCCCUAGGCUGGGGCCUCUCACAAGCUGAGUUUAUUGUCUAAUUGGUUUAGAUUGGAACCACACCCUUCCCCCCUCUACAACCCUAAACCCCUUGUAGAUCUAUCUAACAUGCUGCAAUUGGGACCUGUAGAGCAGAUGCCAUCCAAUCAGCAUCCAGUUUGCUAUUAGGUGUGGGAGGGAUGCUGAAAUCGGUUUUUCGGUUGGUCUCUUAAUCCAAAUAUGGUUUCAACUACAGUAAGAAUGGCUUUCACUACAAGACUGUUACCAAUCAUAAAACAAAAAUGGUUUCAUUGUGGCCAGGAGAGGAAAUUGGAACUUAGUUUUGUAACCGGCUUGGUUUAAACCUAGAGUUCCGAUAUGUUACCUUCCCCCCAUUGCUCUUUCUCUCCCAGAUUGGAAUUGAAAAGCAGUUUCCCAGCAACUCUGCCUCCCAUCACAAGAAGCUCUUAAUAAGAGAGCAUCUCAAAUCACAGUGGUAACUCACCCAUACAAGCUCGCCUUGAUUAAACAUGUAUUACAUCUUAGGGCACUGUGAAGUAAUAAUUUUGGUCACACAAUGAUUAUUUCAUACCCUCUCAGACAAAGAUGUAGAUUUCACUAAUGCUCCUUUGAAAUGAGACAGCUUUUGCUCAGGGUGUCUCAACUAGUAUUAUACAGGGAGAGAGUUAGUAGGGGUAGGAGCAGGGGGAGAGAGUUAUAGGGGGUAGGAGCAGGGGGAGAGAGUUAGUAGGGGUAGGAGCUGGGGAGAGAGUUAGUAGGGGUAGGAGCAGGGGGAGAGAGUUAGUAGGGGUAGGAGCUGGGGGAGAGAGUUAGCAGGGGUAGGAGCAGGGGGAGAGAGUUAGCAGGGGUAGGAGCAGGGGAAGAGAGUUAGUAGGGGUAGGAGUAGGGGGAGAGAGUUAGUAGGGGUAGGAGCUGGGGAGAGAGUUAGUAGGGGUAGGAGCUGGGAGAGAGAGUUAGUAGGGGUAGGAGCAGGUGAAGAGAGUUAGUAGGGGUAAGAGCUGGGAAUGGGCAUUCUAAGCCACAGGGGUUGGGCUGGAUUGGGUCAAAAUAAGAGGUUUAUAAAUCACUAUUUUCCUUUCUGAGAAGCAAGUGUUAAAAGGAGCCGAGCAACGUCUGUAUCCGCACUGUUCUUCAUGAAUGUAUACCCACCAUCUGCACCAGCCAAGCUGCCCCUCCAGGGGAGUUGAGCAAACCCAAUAUUUAUGUGUAGAGUACAAUUUGAGUCUUGGUCUCCCCAAACUGCCCACAUUACUGCUAGUCCACCCUGAUGAUGGUUAUCAGUUGGAUCCAAACUUCCAAAGACAAAUAUCACAUGAUCCAAAGCAUCCCAAUAUCAAUGACCUCCAUCAAUCAUCUGGCUUAGGUCCAAGACUUCUCUGUACGGGCACGCAAGGCUGCACUUUUGAAAUUCCAUUAUGCUGCUGGAAAAAUAAACCCUGAAAACAAGUCUCUUCUUGAUAUGAAAUGGCUUUCCAGUGUAUUGUGACAAUUUUUUUGUCGUCUGAUUCUUGUCUAGCUGGUUGUCCAAAGCUUAUUUUUUUAAUACAAUGUGGAAUAUAGCUGUUUCUUUUGUGGUCGUAAACAAAAUAGAAAAUGUAGUCUGCAGAACAAUAUGUCAUGGACAUGUGAGAGCUUUCGCGCAUUCUCCUCCUAUACAACAUAGCCUACAGCCCUACAGCCCUACAGCCCUACAGCCCUACAGCCCUAAACCAUAUCAGGUUCAUCGAGAUUGUAUAGGGACCAGCUCAAACUGAAAUGGUAAACCAAUACAUUCUGCUCCAAGAGCAAAAAACAUUUUCCUUAAUGGUCUUUUCCAGCAAAGCUUACGCAAGAAAAACCAUUCUCAAUCCUCUUCUUCAUUACAUCACAAGGCCUGAGUAAUGUUCCUAUGCACUUGUUUGCAUGUUCCCGCUGGUAUGUUUGUUCCGAGAAGAACGUACCACUUUUGUGUUCAGCACCUUUUCCACUUGUCAAAAUUGUGCAUUUGGCUGGGAGUGUGUACGGAGUAGGAAUCAGCAGAGGGCUAAAUGUGUAGGACUGGUGGAGACAAGAAAAGGGAGUCUAGCAGCUAGCAAGCUAGUGAUGAAAAUGCCAGCUUAACCAGGGGUCACUGUCUCGCUCCAGCUGUAGGCAGUCCCCAUAACCAGUCAGUGAAAACCACUAGGUUUUUAAUCUUCAAUGUUGCUGUCACGUUCUCUCAGCUCUUGACAAGCUACAGUAAAUCCCCUUUUCAAACGUAACACGACCUGCCAAGGAGAAAGAAAAACGACUUAGCUAGCAUGCAAUACAUUCCAUAGUUUUACCUUAUGCAUCUAAGCCCUAUAAUACAGACAGAUUGAGGGUGUCUGCAGGAUCAAGCCCAAUGCAUUCACACAUUUCCACCGGCUGGGCCACCCAAAGGGUAACUAGAUUUCCCAUGGGACUUGAGAAUGAUCUGUCAUUAUCUCACAGGCUCAAAUGAGACCUUCAGACUUCAGAAUAGAGAAGCCUCCUCCUCCCAUUGACUGGAUCCACCCCAAUACCAUUCAGAGUAGUCGAAGUAGAGUUCCAGAGUGUGUAGGCUUACAUGCCAUUGCAACAGUGUUACUUACUAGGUCACAAGCAAACUGCAGUUAAAAAAAAUGUAUUAAAGCUGAACUUCUUCACUUCUGUCUAAGAUGUGUGCUCAUAUUACUCACCAGGCCAAAUGUACAGUCCCUGUCUCUGUUUUGAUGUUGAACUGGGCAACAAAAAAAAAAAAAUACAUAAAUAGAUAAAUGAAUUAAACAAGUGUCAGAAAUUGUUGAAAUACUGUGUACAUAUUUGAACUUUUGGUUUCUAAUUUAUAAAAUAUAAGCUUUGGCUCUUGGAGUACUUAUUUUAUUUUUCCUUUCAUGCGUAGCUUUGUGUUUUUAUUUUCUAUUUCUGUAAAG